CGAACAGUAAGCAUCACUUCAGUCGUGUUUACACUCUCCCGGAGCUUUCUGUGCUGCUCGGAUCCUCAGAGCUCGGUCACAAGGAGCCAGUGGGUGCUUCUGGCACAUUUCAUAGCUGGAGUGCACAAACAGUUGCCCAUCCUGUUUUGGGGCUGUUCCCUAGAACCGAGUGGAAAAUGAGCCGAGAGAGAUGGCUGAGCUCGAGAGGAUCAAUACCCACAGAGUGUCCUAGAUUCCCAGCCCCUUAUUUUGAAAAGCACAUUUCGAAGUUUUAAAGUGGCCAUUAAGCUAUUAAAAAUGUGCUCGUUAAACAAA